GAUGAACGCUAGCGAUAGGCCUAACACAUGCAAGUCGAGGGGCAUCACAUGAGGCAGCAAUGCCGAUGGUGGCGACCGGCGCACGGGUGAGUAACACGUAUGCAACCUGCCUUCAACAAGGGGAUAACCCGUUGAAAAACGGACUAAUACCCUAUAAUACAGGGGUCCCGCAUGGGGAUAUUUGUUAAAGAUUGAUCGGUUGAAGAUGGGCAUGCGUUCCAUUAGCUGGUUGGUGAGGUAACGGCUCACCAAGGCAACGAUGGAUAGGGGAACUGAGAGGUUUAUCCCCCACACUGGUACUGAGACACGGACCAGACUCCUACGGGAGGCAGCAGUGAGGAAUAUUGGUCAAUGGACGCAAGUCUGAACCAGCCACGUCGCGUGAAGGAAGACGGCCCUACGGGUUGUAAACUUCUUUUGCAAGGGAAUAAAGUGGGCCACGUGUGGCCUUUUGCAAGUACCUUGCGAAUAAGGAUCGGCUAACUCCGUGCCAGCAGC
rnacentral:rRNA from 1 species